AUUGAACGCUGGCGGCAUGCCUUACACAUGCAAGACGAGCGGCAGCGCGGGGGGCAACCCUGGCGGCGAGCGGCGAACGGGUGAGUAAUGCAUCGGAACGUGUCCUCUUGUGGGGGAUAACCAGUCGAAAGACUGGCUAAUACCGCAUGAGCUCGAGAGAGGAAAGCGGGGGACCGCAAGGCCUCGCGCGAGAGGAGCGGCCGAUGCCGGGUUAGCUAGUUGGUGGGGUAAAGGCCCACCAAGGCGACGAUCCGUAGCUGGUCUGAGAGGGCGACCAGCCACACUGGCACUGAGAUACGGGCCAGACUCCUACGGGAGGCAGCAGUAGGGAAUAUUGGUCAAUGGAUGCAAGUCUGAACCAGCCAUGCCGCGUGCAGGAAGAAGGCCUUCUGGGUUGUAAACUGCUUUUGCCGGGGGAUAAAAUUCCCAUGCGUGGGACAUUGAAGGUACCCGGUGAAUAAGCCACGGCUAACUAACGUGCCAGCAGCGAC
rnacentral:rRNA from 1 species